AUCUUCGUAUGUGUUGAGUUGUUGAUGUGGUCACGUUGUUGUGUUUGUACUGAUGUAUGAUGUGCUGUGUUACGGAUUAUGUCUAUUCUGUGCGUGCUUGCUGUUCAUAUGUCCUGGUGUGUAGAAUUGUUUAAUUGUGUCAUUGAUGUGCUGUUCGUUCAUGCCAAGCAGUUGCUGUCCAGAUUUCCUCUUUCAUUUUUUUCUGUUCUAUUAUGGUGAGCCUCUAAGUGUCGAGACUGAAGAAUUCAGAGUUG
rnacentral:lncRNA from 1 species